rnacentral:rRNA from 1 species
UAAUACGGAGGAGGCAAGCGUUAUCCGGAAUUAUUGGGCGUAAAGCGUCCGUAGAUGGUCGCUUCAAGUCUGCUGUCAAAGACCGGGGCUUAACCCCAGAAAGGCAGUGGAAACUGAACAGCUAGAGAGAGGUAGGGGUAGAGGGAAUUCCCAGUGUAGCGGUGAAAUGCGUAGAUAUUGGGAAGAACAUCAGUGGCGAAAGCGCUCUACUGGACCUUAUCUGACAUUCAGGGACGAAAGCUAGGGGAGCGAAUGGGAUUAGAUACCCCAGUAGUCCUAGCCGUAAACGAUGGAUACUAGGUGUUGUCCGUAUCGACCCGGACAGUGUCGUAGCUAACGCGUUAAGUAUCCCGCCUGGGGAGUACGCACGCAAGUGUG